rnacentral:lncRNA from 1 species
GUUGCCUUUAACACUAUCUUUAGAGUGGAAACUGCUUUAGACAUAAAGAACAUACAUCCGGACAUAGAGCUCUAUUUGAUAUAUCCCUGGUCUAGAGGUUUGUAGCAUGUUUACUGUUUAGAUUUUUAGCGUAAGCAGUAAACACUCUUCUUUACACAGCCUUGCUUUCCCGGUGUGGAGCAGAUUAAGCUUUUAAGGGAGCAAACUGGCCACAUCUUCCGGAGCUUCAGGCAAAGCAGAGUUAAUGGUCCCCUGAGAGUCAUCCCCAAGCUAAGAAGAGCCUACAUAUUUCUCUGCCAUGAGACUCAGCAGGCGGUGGGGGAGUGGGGUUGCAGUUAAUGCAUUGGUCUGUCUAUUAGUAACGCUUGAGGCUGCUACAUUGCAUUUAGAAAAUGACUGCAUACAUUCAGUGCCAAAGACAACAUUGUAUAGCCCCUUUUGGUCAUAACCAACCCCAGGAAGAAAGAUUGAUGGUGCUACUUUUGACUUGCAAUCCUACUUUUGACAUGUACAUGAUGAAAUAAAGCAAAAAAAAAAAAAAGCAUAAGCAUUUGUAAGACUCUGGAAAAAUAUCUACCCUAGCAUGUGCCAGACUCAUGUGGUAGAGAAUAAAAUUACUGUAGCUUGUUUUAGGGACAAAGCCUGUGAAUCCUUGCAGGGCAUUUUUUUCAAUCUAGGCAUAAACAUUAAAUGUUAAAAUGGUAUCAUUUAAUAAUAUUCCAAAAAUCCUUGAGUCUAUAAUGUUUGACCUGUUUACUAUCUUACACCUUUCUCCAUCCCAAUAUUCUCCUGCCCUCAUCCAGAUAAUUCUGCAAUGAGUGUCCCAAAAAGCUUGGUAUUAAACAUAACUUUCACUGGGGCAAGUGAGGUUUCAGUUUCCUGCUGUGUUUCCUUCUCCUGGCCUCUUAGUGCGCCCUGCUGGACUCUCUUGGGAAUGCCACCUUCUCUUGGACAGGCAUCCUCCAUAUAUUCACAAAUGAAACAUAGUCUCUAGUGCUAUGGUCCCAAAACCUUUUUCUCCUUUUCCUUGGUUCACAGACUAACCCAUCUAUUAAAAAUUUUUAUUUCAAUGUUUCUGGAAAAAUUUGUGCUUUUCCCAGAGCAAUGGACUAAAUAUUUGAAUGCCCCCAGAAACCUAAUCACCAAUAUGAGGGUAUUUUGAAGUGGUGGUUUGGGGAAUUAAAUAGGUCAUGAGGGGGAAGCCCUCCUGAAUGGGAUUAGUGCCCUUAUAAGGAGAGAUAGGAGAAAGACAUCUCUGUCUCUGCCAUGUGAGCACACAGCAAGAAGGCAGCUGCCUGCAAGCCGGGAAGUGGGCUCUCACCAGAUAUCAGAGCUGCUGGUACUUUGGUCUUGGACUUCCAGGCUCCAGAAUUGUGAGAAAUAAAUGUUUGUUGUUUAAGCCACUCGGUCUUUAGUAUUUGUGUGUGUGUGUGUGCGUGCGCACGGGUGUGUGUGUGUGUGACAGCAGCCAGAAUGAAGCCACUAGUUAACUUGAAUGAGUAUCAAGAAACUGAAAGCAAGUUUCUGUAUGUUAGAGUUAUUUUCAUUUAUCUUGUAGUGCACAAAGAGACAUGCUUAGAUUCUGCCUGUGAGGUAGCCUAAUGGCACUGUGAUAGCAAUAACAAGAAUGGUAGCUCCACCAAGGAACUCUGUAGAAUUCUAUUCUUUAUCUCCUACUAAUCCAAUACUUGUGAUGUGCCCCAGCUUCCCUCUUCCACCAGAAAUCCCAAAGAAAUCUCUCAAGCUGAUAGACUGUUUUAUACUCCAUCUAUUCUUCAGUUACCAUUAAAUUCGUUCUUUUGAUUUUGCUCCUUUUCUUUUUCUUUUUUUUUUUUUUUUGGCUUUUUGGGGCCACACUGGUGGCAUAUGGAAGUUCCCAGGUUAAGGGUCAAAGUGGAGCUGCAGCUGCUGGCAAAUGACACAGCCACAGCAAAGCCAGAUCCGAGCCUCAUCAGCAACCUACACCACAGCUCCUGGCAAUGCGGGGUCCUUCACCCAUUGAGCAGGGCCAAGGAAUCAAAUCCAUAUCUUCAUGGAUACUAGUUGGGUUUGUUCCUGAUGAGCCACGUUGGGAACUCCCUAUUUGGCUCCUUUCUGUUUUUCCUAUUUCCUCUACUCUUAACCUUCUGAUCAGCCCAUGGUGACCUCCUAUUAACUUAUUAAAUAGCAGCUUAGAGAACCUGAGGUAACUUAUUUCUCCACAUGCCUUCCUUAUGUUAAUGCUGCAGGUUGGCUAAUUUCCUAAAGAUCUUCACUAUUAUUAAUGUUAAGAUUUGUCAUAGAAAGAAUGAAAAUUUGUAAGACAAGAGUUUACUAAGAACAGCUGGUAUGCCUUGCUCUGUGCUCAGUUCUGUCAAUACUAUUUAAUAUACAUCCACAGAAAUCCUACUCCAUCCUAGACAGUCCAGAGAAUUCAACAAGUAUGUUACAGGAGGUUCUCAAGAAGGUACAGUUCACUGUUGAGCAACAGCAGGAUUAGGGGCCCUGACCAUCUGUGCUGCUGAAAAAUCUUCAAACUUCUAUUCUCUGCCUAAAAACCAAAGGAAUUGAUAAAUGAGUCAGCCAAGGGCAAGAGACUGAAACAGUUUGAUUAGAAUCAGGACUCAAAUCCCAGUUCUUUUGAUUCCACAUAUUAUGAUCUCUUAGGGAACACAAACUUUCCCCCACAGUUAAUUCAAAAAUCUAUAAAAUGGGAGUUCCCUGGUGGCCUGGUGGUUAAGGAUCUGGCAUUUGCCACUACUGUGGCUGUGGUUCAAUCCCUGGCAGGGAAACUUCCACAAGCCAUGGGCAAGGCCAAUCAUCAUCAUCAUCAUCAUCAUCAUCAUCAUCUGUAAAAUGAAAAUAAAGGUACUGUAUUUUUGGAAAAAAAAAAUCUAUGUAUAAGUGGACCUGUGCUGUUCAAGGUUCAACUGUAUAACUCCAGGGAAAAGGUGAAAAAAUCCUGCUAUUUUUUGAGCUCCUAAUAUAUAUAAACCUCACAGUAAACGUAGCAUGUUGUUAUUAUUUACUCCUGUUUUGCAAAUUUAAAAAAUCAGAAGAUCAGAAAGAUUAGGAAACAUGCAAUAUCCCAGAGGGAGAAGAAACAGAAUUAUUAUUGAAAACAUUUAACACCAUAAUGGUCUCCAUAUUAUAAUGGAGGAAUAAAAAUAAUACUCAAUUCAUCAUAACAUAGGGGAAAAUAGACAAGUAACAUGUAACAAAAUUGAAAUGUGUACUUAAGAGAGAAGUUGCUCUUGGUAAGAGAAACUUCCAGGUUUCAGAAAGGAAUUAUAUUUAAGAAAGGCCUUGGAGAGGGGGGAGGGGGGAGAUGGGGCAGGAGAUGAAGAGAUACAAACUACUAUGUAUAAAAUAAAUAAGCUACAAGAAUACAUUGUGCAGCACAGGGAUUAUAGCUAAUAUUUUAUGACAAUUUUAAAUAGAGUAUAAUCUACAAAAUAUUGAAUCAGUAUGUUGCACAUUCUAAACUAGUAUAAUAUUGUAUAUAUCAACCAUGCUUUUUUUCUAUAAAAACAAUAUUUUGUACAGGAAAAAAAACACCCAGAUCUUGGAAAAAGGUUAAGGUUUCCAACAGGCUUAUCUGGGGGAAAAUUGAACAGGUCUGCAAGAACAUUCUUAAAACUAACAAGUGGCUUUAUCUUGGACUUAAAAUACAUAGUAAAUACGCAAAUACCAAUGACAUUUCUAUGUACUAGCAAAGUAUGUAUGAAAACUGAUUUUAAAAACAGUAUCGUUUAUAGCUCCUCACAAAUGAAACUGGUAUAACUCUAACAAAUCUUACAAAUCUAUAUGCUGAAAAGUACAAAAAUGCUAAUGAAAUAAGUCAAAGAAGAUCUAAAUAAGUGAGAGAUAUGCCAUGUUCAAGGAUAUGAAGAUUCAACACGGUAAAAGAUGGCAAUUCUCCCAAAUUUAUCUGUAGAUUUAAUGCAUUCCAGUAAGAAUCUAAGUAGGAUUUUUGUGUAUAUAAACAAGAUAAUUUAAAAUUUACAUGGAAAGACAAAGGAACUAGAAUUGCUAAAAUUAUUUUUGAAAAAGAGUAGUGCGUUUGGAAGACUCAUUCUACCAGAUUUCAAAAUUACAGUAAUCAAGAUAGUGUUGUAUUAGCAGGUAGACCGUAGACCAGAACAAAGAACCCAGAAAUUGAUCCAUAUGGCCGAUAGAUUUUUGGCAAAGGCGCAAAAGCAAUUCCAUGAGAGAAGGAUAUUCUUUUCAACAAAUGAUAAUUGUUGUUAUUAGUAUCCAUAUGCGAAAAAAACUCUACCUAAACUUCACAUCUUAUACAAAAAUUAAUUCAAAAUGUAUCAUUAUAUCUAAAUGCAGACACAUAAAAAAGUAUAAAAUGCUUAGAAGAAAACAGAAAAUUUCCAUAACCUAGGCCUAGGCAAAGAGUUCUUAUAUAUAACACAAAAAAACAAGAUCCAUAAAAGAAAAAAUCAGAUAAAUUGGAGUUCAUUUUGAAAGAAAUCUUUAUUGGAGUUCUUGUUGUGGCUCAGCAGGUUACAAACAUGACUAGUAUCCAUGAGGAUGCAGGUUUGAUCCCUGGCCUCACUCAGUGGGUUAAUGAUCCAUUGUUGCCAUGAACUGUGAUGUAGGUUGAAGACUCAGCUUGGAUCUGCAUUGCUGGUGGCUGUGGUGUAGACCUGCAGCUGCAGUCCUGAUGUGACCCCUAGCCUGGAAACCUCCAUAUGCUACAGAUGUGCCCCCCACCACCACCAAAAAAAAAGCAAAAAAAAAAAAAAUUUAUUCAGUUAAAGACACUGUCAGGAAAAUGAAAAAGAUAAGAUUUAGACUAGGAUAAAAUAUUUGCAAAUCAAAUAUUUAGCAAGAGACUCAUAUCCAGAAUAUAUAAAAACCCUCUAAACUCAACAAUAGACUAGAAAUGACCCAAUUAGAAUAUGGACAAAAGAAUUGAACAUUUACCCAAUAGAAUAUACAAAUGGAAAAUGAGCAUGUAAAAAGAUGCUCAACAUUAUUGGCCACUAGACAUCUCUCAGAAUGGCUAAAAUUAAAAAUACUGACAAUACCAAGUGCUGGUGAGGAUGCAGAGAAGAGGAACUCUGAUACAUGGCUGGUGGAAAUGCAUAAUGACAUAGCCACUCUGGAAAAUAGUUUGCCUUUUUCUUAUAAAGCAAGACACUUAACCAGUUUAUGGGUUGUCAUGGAUUAGAUGUCUUGCCCCUAAGUUAAUAUGUUGAAAUUCUAUCUCCCGAUGUGAUGGGAUUAGAAGGUGGUGUCUUAGAGAGAUCAUUAGGUAAUGAAGGUGGAGCCCUCCUACAUGGAAUCAUUGCCCUUAUAAAAAAAA